rnacentral:sRNA from 1 species
GCCGGGUAUGGUGGCUCAUGCCUGUAAUCCCAGCACUUUGGGAGGCUGAGGUGGGUGGAUCACUUGAGGUCAGGAGUUUGAGACCAACCUGACCAACAUGGUGAAACCCUGUCUCUU